rnacentral:rRNA from 1 species
UUUAUGGAGAGUUUGAUCCUGGCUCAGGAUGAACGCUGGCGGCGUGCCUAAUACAUGCAAGUCGAGCGAACGGACGAGAAGCUUGCUUCUCUGAUGUUAGCGGCGGACGGGUGAGUAACACGUGGAUAACCUACCUAUAAGACUGGGAUAACUUCGGGAAACCGGAGCUAAUACCGGAUAAUAUUUUGAACCGCAUGGUUCAAAAGUGAAAGACGGUCUUGCUGUCACUUAUAGAUGGAUCCGCGCUGCAUUAGCUAGUUGGUAAGGUAACGGCUUACCAAGGCAACGAUGCAUAGCCGACCUGAGAGGGUGAUCGGCCACACUGGAACUGAGACACGGUCCAGACUCCUACGGGAGGCAGCAGUAGGGAAUCUUCCGCAAUGGGCGAAAGCCUGACGGAGCAACGCCGCG